CUGGCUCAGGAUGAACGCUGGCGGCGUGCUUAACACAUGCAAGUCGAACGGAGUUUUAACGGAAGUUUCGGAUGGAAGUUAAGAACUAGUGGCGGACGGGUGAGUAACGCGUGGGUAACCUGCCUCAUACAGGGGGAUAACAGUUAGAAAUGACUGCUAACACCGCAUAAUAUAGCGAAACCGCAUGAUUUUGCUAUCAAAUAUUUAUAGGUAUGAGAUGGGCCCGCGUCUGAUUAGCUAGUUGGUGGGGUAAAAGCCUACCAAGGCGACGAUCAGUAGCCGGCUUGAGAGAGUGACCGGCCACAUUGGGACUGAGACACGGCCCAAACUCCUACGGGAGGCAGCAGUGGGGAAUAUUGGACAAUGGGGGAAACCCUGAUCCAGCGAACCGCCGCGUGAGUGAAGAAGUAUUUCGGUAUGUAAAGCUCUAUCAGCAGGGAAGAUAAUGACAGUACCUGACUAAGAAGCCCCGGCUAACUACGUGCCAGCCGCAGC
rnacentral:rRNA from 1 species